UACGGAGGGUGCAAGCGUUAUCCGGAUUCACUGGGUUUAAAGGGUGCGUAGGCGGAUAUGUAAGUCCGUGGUGAAAUCUCUGGGCUUAACCCGGAAACUGCCAUGGAUACUAUGUGUCUUGAAUGUUGUUGAGGUGAGCGGAAUAUGUCAUGUAGCGGUGAAUGCUUAGAUAUGACAUAGAACACCAAUUGCGAAGGCAGCUCACUAAGCAAAUAUUGACGCUGAGGCACGAAAGCGUGGGAUCAAACAGG
rnacentral:rRNA from 1 species